ensembl:lncRNA
CUGUAGCACUCAUGGGAGGCAAGGUGUGAUGUUCUCAGACCCCAAGUCCUCUCUUCCAUAUAAAAGCCCACUCUCAGAUUCCACUUGAGGAAGAGCAAAGUACUUCCAGUACAAAAUGCCUGCCUUCGUAGCAGAUCUGGUACACCGCCGUGAACAAUGGAAACUUGUCCAGCAGUCCCUUCGGUUUGAGGAUGCCAUACACCUCGGCGGAAGUCUGUGGUCCUUGCAGCUUCUGCCCGUUCAGCAUCUCCUUCUCCAGUUCUUCAAUGGUCUUUCCGGUCGCCGCAAAGGCCUCAGCUACCUUGCGGUUCCGGCCCGCGUAGCAGGUAGUGAUCAGGUCGGCCACGCCGCAGCUCUCCAGGAAGGUGGCUUUGGACACGUGGCCCUUGCAGAAGAUCCUGGCGAAGGUGAUCAUUUCCAUGAGCCCCAGGCGGAUGACGGCAGCUUUGGUGUUGUCGCCGCAGUGGAGGCCGUCGCAGAACCCGGCUCCCACGGCCACAAUGUUCUUCAGAGCGCCACAAAGUUCAACAGCGUCUGCCUCAGCAACCACCUUAAUUCGAAAAUUUGGAGUCUGAAGAAGUUCUUUGAAGAGGAGGCCGUGCUCCAUUACCUUGCUGCCGAUGGUGGUCUCACAGAACUUCUCGGCAGCCACCUCAUUGGCAGUGUUGGCG